UACGUAGGGACCAAGCGUUGUUCGGAUUUACUGGGCGUAAAGGGUGCGUAGGCGGCGCGGUAAGUCGGGUGUGAAAUCUUGGAGCUUAACUCCGAAACUGCAUUCGAUACUGCCGUGCUUGAGGAGUGGAGAGGAGACUGGAAUUUACGGUGUAGCGGUGAAAUGCGUAGAUAUCGUAAGGAAGACCAGUGGCGAAGGCGGGUCUCUGGACAGUUCCUGACGCUGAGGCACGAAGGCCAGGGGAGCAAACGGG
rnacentral:rRNA from 1 species